GCAAAGACGGACAUGCCAUGAAUAAGUACAACACGGCCACGACUCAAAUGAUGUACCACUUAAACAAAGUGCAUCCGACCCUGGUUAAUACCGGUGGCUGUACAUCCUGCUCUCAGUCUCAACCUAGCAUCAAGGCUGCGUUAGCACGGAUGAGCUGCGAUGCCCAGCGAACAGAAAAAAUUACCCAACGGAUCUGCAAGUUCAUUGAGAUAGAUAUGCUGCCCUUAAGUAUUGUUGAGGGCGAAGGUUUUCGAGAACUGAUACAUUUAUUGUAACCAGCAUAUAUCAUUCAUCAUGACGUACAGUACCAUCACUUGACUGGUAGAAACUCACUAUGAAGAAC